ACCCGGGUGGCGAAAUGGCAGACGUGUACGCUUGAGGGGCGUAUGUCGAAAGACGUAGGGGUUCGACUCCCCUUCCGGGUA
rnacentral:tRNA from 1 species